GGGGGGGGUGAGCGUUGUUCGGAAUUACUGGGCGUAAAGGGCUCGUAGGCGGCCAACUAAGUCAGACGUGAAAUCCCUCAGCUUAACUGGGGAACUGCGUCUGAUACUGGAUGGCUUGGAUUCGGGAGAGGGAUGCGGAAUUCCAGGUGUAGCGGUGAAAUGCGUAGAUAUCUGGAGGAACACCGGUGGCGAAGGCGGCAUCCUGGACCGAUAUUGACGCUGAGGAGCGAAGGCCAGGGGAGCAAACGGGAUUAGAUACCCCGGUAGUCCUGGCCCUAAACGAUGAAUGCUUGGUGUGGCGGGUAUCGAUCCCUGCCGUGCCGAAGCUAACGCAUUAGGCAUUCCGCCUGGGGAGUACGGUCGCAAGGCUG
rnacentral:rRNA from 1 species